ensembl:lncRNA
UUCCAUAGCAACAGAAGAUAGAAAGACUCCCUUACAUUAACAGAUCAGUCCAUCUCUCAAACCUCAUAAGAAAUGUUUCCUUUUGUGUUAGAUGGUGAUGACAACUAACACAGAGACCCACACUAGUCAAGAUUCCUGGAGACUGCAUCAUUUGUAACAAAUGGAGGUUUAUUUGGCUUGGGAUGAGGGAAGCAGAGUGAAGAAGUAUGCUUUCUGUGUCUAGUAGGGUUCCUAAUGCUGCAUCAUUCUGUGGUGUGAGCCCAGUCUACCUAGGAACCAGCAUCUAGAAAGAAGACAGCUACAAGAGAGAAGACAGUACCUGUGCACCCAGGCCCUUCAGUCAUGUGUGCAUGAAGUAAAGAAUAGGAGUUCCCUAGAUCAGAAUGGCCGUGGUUUCUUCAGCUAUAAAGUGUGACCAACUGACCUCCUAAUAUUGACUGGGGUUGCAGGAAGACUGAGGAUGUUUACAGGUUGAUGUUUGGAAUAGCUCCCGUCCACAUCCAACAUUACAGGAGCAUUUGCUUCUCCUUUUCACUUCAGAGCUCACAAAGCAAUGUUUGCCUGUCAGUUCACACAGGCAACCCUAUGGUGAGAUUCUCCUUUUAAAAAUAUUAAUGAUCAAGUUUUAUUCAUAUGAUACAGACAGGGUGGUAUCUUCAUUUUUAAAUCAAGUACUAUAUUCUUCCACUGACAUUUUCAUCAAGCCAGGCAAAACAGAAGUCCUAAUGCUGCC